UACGUAGGGUGCAAGCGUUGUCCGGAAUUAUUGGGCGUAAAGAGCUCGUAGGCGGUUUGUCGCGUCUGCUGUGAAAACUCGGGGCUUAACCCCGGGCCUGCAGUGGGUACGGGCAGACUAGAGUGCGGUAGGGGAGACUGGAAUUCCUGGUGUAGCGGUAAAUGCGCAGAUAUCAGGAGGACACCGGUGGCGAAGGCGGGUCUCUGGGCCGAUACUGACGCUGAGGAGCGAAAGCGUGGGGAGCGAACAGG
rnacentral:rRNA from 1 species